GGGAUCCCGACAUAAGCCGGGAAUAAUAAUAACGAUGAAAUUCCUCUUUGACGGGCCAAUAGCGAUAUUGGCCAUUUUUUU
rnacentral:sRNA from 1 species